rnacentral:ncRNA from 1 species
GAGUUUGAUCCUGGCUCAGGAUAAACGCUAGCGGCAGGCCUAACACAUGCAAGUCGAGGGGCAGCGGGUGGAGUAUUUCGGUACUCCUGCCGGCGACCGGCGCACGGGUGCGUAACGCGUAUGCAACCUACCUUUAACAGGGGGAUAAUCCGAAGAAAUUUGGUCUAAUACCCCAUAAUAUCAUUUAAGGCAUCUUAGAUGGUUGAAAAUUCCGAUGGUUAGAGAUGGGCAUGCGUUGUAUUAGCUAGUUGGUGAGGUAACGGCUCACCAAGGCUACGAUACAUAGGGGGACUGAGAGGUUUUCCCCCCACACUGGUACUGAGACACGGACCAGACUCCUACGGGAGGCAGCAGUGAGGAAUAUUGGUCAAUGGACGCAAGUCUGAACCAGCCAUGCCGCGUGCAGGAUGAAGGUGCUAUGCAUUGUAAACUGCUUUUGUACGAGGGUAAAUGCAGGUACGUGUACCUGUUUGAAAGNNNNNNNNNNNNNNNNNNNNUUUUCCUGAGCGGCCC